rnacentral:lncRNA from 1 species
GCGUUUUCGAUUCGGAAUUCUUCCGACGGUACUUGGGGAUCAUUUGUUUCGUCGCUGAGCCUUGUUGGCUGGUCACCCGCGUCGUUUCGUGGGUUUGGAAACGACGGGUGAGCGACGGUGAAGUUCCGGUGCGGUUUUCGGGACUUCCGGUUUGUUCGGUAAUCGGUUUUGGGAAACCGAUUCUCGUGAAAUUGUUUGUGGGAUUGUUGUGGGUUAUGCCUUUAGGGUUUCUUAGUUGUGGGUUAGACACUAACCCAGUGGACCCUCCUUAGGUCCGGUUGACGUUCUUUUGCAGUCAGGAGAUAGACGCGACAGUUGUACAGGUGGGUACUUCGAUCCGACGUCGGUACAGUGGUGCACGCUCGGUGAUGGUUUCUUACCUUUGCUCUUUCAUUAUUAUCUAGCAUAUAUACAUCUUGAUAUAUAGUGUUGAGCCUAGCACCAUGUUGUUUCGGUUACUCUCUACUCGAACGUCAUACGCCUCUGUAGCAUUCCACACUAAGUCCAGUGUUAGGCAACUCUUGCCUAUGCACACCGGCCGCACGAGCGCAACCGCCUACCUCACCUUGAGGUACUACUAGGCCCACGUGCUCAGACUUGGCCACUAAUUGACCGUUCUCUCAAAAGUGAUACUACUUUCACUGUUCGAUCUACCGGAAUGACAUCCGAAAUUUUCGGACCACUCGGGUGUUCCCAUAAGCAUCACGACUCAACUCUCGCAAUUUACAACUCAUAUUGCUCUGAGAGUCGCUUCGCCACUUCUAUCUCUACCGCGAGUCUCACUUCUCGCCGUAGAUUACUUCUAGCACUUCGCUAGUGCCAUCUGGCUCUAUACCUGUACUGGCAGGUACUACGCCCUCACAUAAUACAAAAUCUCAUUUCUAGAGCAAUCAAAUCUAUCUCUAGAAAUCCACCAUGAGAGAGAGCUUAGAAGCUUACCUCUCCAAGAAGCUCCAACCAAGGAGAAGAUGAAGAAGAUGAGGAAGACCUCCUUCUUCUUCUCUUUCUUUCCUUUCCUUUCUUCUUCCUCCUCUUGUCUGCUAGAGAGAGAAAGAGAGAUAUGGGAGGGUGUGUGGGUGAGAAAUAAGAGAAAAGAGCUCUCAUACCCCUCACAUAGGCCCACAUGUUGCAUAAGUGCAAACAAGCCCCUCAACUUUUAUUCUUUUACACUGCCCUGACUGGGCCAUUUUCGGGUUCGGGGACCGGUCUCCCCGACGAGGGACCGGUCUCCGAGAGCUUCUCCCCGCAGUCAGCAGAGCUCACGCCCGAUGCAUCCGGUCUCUCUUUGGGGGACCGGUCUCUCAGGGACCGAUCUUUCCAGCAGGGACCGGUCUCCGAGAGCUGUCCACCAAGGACUUAGCCGAUUUUUCCUCCCUUUCGCUGUCUGCGCGUGCGGGGACCGGUCUUUCCCACCAGGGACCGGUCCCCGAGAGCACAAAAGCUGCAGUCUUGCAGAUUUUGAUUUCCAAAGCUCUCGAAGAUCCCCAGUAAUGUACUUUGGCAUUAUUUGACGCCUUCGGCCUUUCCGAAGCGUACCAACCUCGUACUCUGGUCAUUUUGACUAAAGUUCGAUACUUGGUUAUCGAAGUCUCGAUAUAUUACAUACCCACUUGACAACUAGCCAAUCCUGGACGAAGUCCAAUUCUCGGCUCUCGAGAAUUUACUUCGUUACAACCAUGCUACACCGGUACACCCCUGGUGUUAAAUCGGUAAUACAUGUUCCAGAAUUUCGAUUUUGCAUCGCUUCGACUCCGAUUCGUGCCGAGCAACGCCAAAACCCUUCUAACUCUUUUAGAACUCAAUUCCAACCCUUCUAACAUUGUUGGAAUGUCAAUUGGACUUUUUCCAACUAUUUCUCUCGACGCACUUUGGUCAAUUUGACCCAAAAGUGAUCUAACACGACGAGAAUUCCGUUAAUUUCUCAAAGAUCAUGAGAGACGCCAAAACUCGCGAAGCUUCCAAUCUCCGCUCGCCUCAAAUUGCCCAGGGACACCACUUGACCCAUCCCGCGCCGAUCUAAAUGAAGAUCGCCUACGCGGUGCUAUCGCUUCCUAAAACGCGACAACUCUAUUAAUCCUCGACCUUCUAGGUCGAACACAAGACACUUAAUACUGACUCAAAUCGGGCGAAAGUCACGCAAGGGCGUCUAUUCUAAUCACUUGGCUUCAUGUUGUGUGCACCCAACAUGAACACCCUCUGUUGAGAAUAAACCUCACCCUGAGUCUACCUCUAACAUCCGUUUUAGAGGUUUAUGACACAACCCAAUCAAUUAACCUUUCGCCAAAAGAAACAAGUCCUCGUCUCUCACGAGCCUUAAUCUCCUAUGGUUUACUAUCCUAGGGUCUCCUAGGUCCAACUAAACCAUUUUCUAUUAUUCUUUCUAUGUUUCCGUUAUGCUCUGAUACCAUCUUAUCUGUCA